rnacentral:rRNA from 1 species
CAAUAGCGUAUAUUAAAGUUGUUGCAGUUAAAAAGCUCGUAGUUGGAUUUCUGUGAGAGUGCCGGUGUCGGCUGAUGCUUGUACGCAGGCGCUCUUACAUCCUUCUGUUAACUGUUCUUGGCAUUUUAUUGCUGGUUCAGGGCUCAGAUAUUUUACCUUGAGAAAAUUAGAGUGUUUCAGGCAGGCUUAUGCCGGAAUACAUUAGCAUGGAAUAAUGGAACAGGACCUGUGCGUCUCUCGGGACGCCGGUCUCCGUUGUUGGUUUCGGGGACUAAUGUAAUGAUUAAUAGGGAUAGUUGGGGGCAUUAGUAUUUAAUAGUCAGAGGUGAAAUUCUCGGAUUUGUUAAAGACUAACUUAUGCGAAAGNAUNNNCCAAGGAUGUUUUCAUUNA